UUUAACAAAGAGAAGCAAGGCCGCGAGGUAGAGCAAAUCUCAAAAAAAACAUCUCAGUUCAGACUGCAGGCUGCAACUCGCCUGCACGAAGUCGGAAUUGCUAGUAAUCGUAGGUCAGCAUACUACGGUGAAUACGUUCCCGGGCCUUGUACACACCGCCCGUCAAACCAUGAGAGUUGGCAACACCCGAAGUCGGUAGUCUAACCGCAAGGAGGACGCCGCCGAAGGUGGGGUUGAUGAUUAGGGUUAAGUCGUAACAAGGUAAC
rnacentral:rRNA from 1 species